rnacentral:rRNA from 1 species
AUCAACUUUCGAUUGGUAGGAUAGAGGCCUACCAUGGUUUUAACGGGUAACGGGGAAUUAGGGUUCGAUUCCGGAGAGGGAGCCUGAGAAACGGCUACCACAUCCAAGGAAGGCAGCAGGCGCGCAAAUUACCCAAUCCCGACACGGGGAGGUAGUGACAAUAAAUAACAAUACGGGGCUCAUUUGGGUCUCGUAAUUGGAAUGAGUACAAUUUAAAUCCCUUAACGAGGAACAAUUGGAGGGCAAGUCUGGUGCCAGCAGCCGCGGUAAUUCCAGCUCCAAUAGCGUAUAUUAAAGUUGUUGCAGUUAAAAAGCUCGUAGUUGAACUUCGGGGUUUACCCAUUGGUCAGGCUUAAUUGUCUGCACUGGUGAGAUAAAUCUCUACCUUCUGAGGAACUUUCAUGCCAUUUAUUUGGCGUGAUGGGAAAUCAGGACUGUUACUUUGAAAAAAUUAGAGUGUUUAAAGCAGGCUAACGUCUGAAUACAUUAGCAUGGAAUAAUGAAAUAGGACGGACUGAUUCUAUUUCGUUGGUUUCUAGGAUCACCGUAAUGAUUAAUAGGGAUAGUUGGGGGCAUUAGUAUUCAAUUGUCAGAGGUGAAAUUCUUGGAUUUAUUGAAGACUAACUACUGCGAAAGCAUUUGCCAAGGAUGUUUUCAUUAAUCAAGAACGAAAGUUAGGGGAUCGAAGACGAUCAGAUACCGUCGUAGUCUUAACCAUAAACUAUGCCGACUAGGGAUCGGACGAAGUUAAUUUUAUAAUGACGCGUUCGGCACCUUACGGGAAACCAAAGUGUUUGGGUUC